rnacentral:rRNA from 1 species
GAUGAACGCUGGCGGCGUGCCUAAUACAUGCAAGUCGAGCGAACAGACGAGGAGCUUGCUCCUCUGACGUUAGCGGCGGACGGGCGAGUAACACGUGGAUAACCUACUUAUAAGACUGGGAUAACUUCGGGAAACCGGAGCUAAUACCGGAUAAUAUAUUGAACCGCAUGGUUCAAUAGUGAAAGACGGUUUUGCUGUCACAUAUAGAUGGAUCCGCGCCGCAUUAGCUAGUUGGUAAGGUAACGGCUUACCAAGGCAACGAUGCGUAGCCGACCUGAGAGGGUGAUCGGCCACACUGGAACUGAGACACGGUCCAGACUCCUACGGGAGGCAGCAGUAGGGAAUCUUCCGCAAUGGGCGAAAGCCUGACGGAGCAACGCCGCGUGAGUGAUGAAGGUCUUCGGAUCGUAAAACUCUGUUAUUAGGGAAGAACAAAUGUGUAAGUAACUAUGCACGUCUUGACGGUACCUAAUCAGAAAGCCACGGCUAACUACGUG